rnacentral:pre_miRNA from 1 species
GUUUAGGGGAAUGUUGUCUGGCUCGAAGCCAUUGGAACGAGAACAGUGUCUUGAUCUAUCCUUAUCGACAUGAGUGGAUUCGGACCAGGCUUCAUUCCCCUCAAC